rnacentral:rRNA from 1 species
GACGGAGGAUGCAAGUGUUAUCCGGAAUCACUGGGCGUAAAGGCGUCUGUAGGUCGUUCAAUAAGUCAACGUGUUAAAUCUUGAGGCUCCAACUUCAAAAUCGCAGUCGAAACUAUUAAACUAGAGUAUAGUAGGGGUAAAGGGAAUUUCCAGUGGAGCGGUGAAAUGCGCAGAUAUCAGGAGGAACACCGAUGGCGAAGGCAGCUCGCUGGGACGGUAACUGGACGCUGAGGCGCGAAAGCGUGGGGAGCAAACAGG